rnacentral:rRNA from 1 species
AUUGAACGCUGGCGGCAGGCCUAACACAUGCCAGUCGAACGGUAACAGGAAGCAGCUUGCUGCUUCGCUGACGAGUGGCGGACGGGUGAGUAAUGUCUGGGAAGCUGCCUGAUGGAGGGGGAUAACUACUGGAAACGGUAGCUAAUACCGCAUAAUGUCGCAAGACCAAAGAGGGGGACCUUCGGGCCUCUUGCCAUCGGAUGUGCCCAGAUGGGAUUAGCUUGUUGGUGGGGUAACGGCUCACCAAGGCGACGAUCCCUAGCUGGUCUGAGAGGAUGACCAGCCGCACUGGAACUGAGACACGGUCCAGACUCCUACGGGAGGCAGCAGUGGGGAAUAUUGCACAAUGGGCGCAAGCCUGAUGCAGCCAUGCCGCGUGUAUGAAGAAGGCCUUCGGGUUGUAAAGUACUUUCAGCGGGGAGGAAGGGAGUAAAGUUAAUACCUUUGCUCAUUGACGUUACCCGCAGAAGAAGCACCGGCUAACUCCGUG